CCCUUAGAUGUCCUGGGCCGCACGCGCGCUACACUGAGUGUCUGAGAUAUGAGGCAUGCCUGGUCCGGCAAGGUCUAGGUAAUCACGAAAAGGCACAUCAUGCUUGGGAUUGAUUAUUGCAAAUUUUAAUCAUGAACGAGGAAUUCCCAGUAAGCGCGAGUCAUAAGCUCGCGUUGAUUACGUCCCUGCCCUUUGUACACACCGCCCGUCGCUACUACCGAUUGGAUGGUUUAGUGAGAUCCUCGGAUUGGUCCCGGCGCGGCCUCUGGUCGUGCCGGAGUGCCGAAAAGAAUGUCGAACUUGAUCAUCUAGAGGAAGUAAAAGUCGUAACA
rnacentral:rRNA from 1 species